UACGGAGGGUGCAAGCGUUAUUCGGAAUUACUAGGUGUAAAGGGCGUGUAGGUGGUUUGUUAAGUCAAAUGUGAAAUCUAUCAGCUCAACUGAUAGCCUGCAUUUGAAACUGAUAAACUUGAGUAUAGGAGGGGAAAAUGGAAUUCCUGGUGUAGCGGUGAAAUGCGUAGAUACCAGGAGGAACACCAGUGGCGAAAGCGGUUUUCUGGCCUAUAACUGACACUGAGGCGCGAAAGCUAGGGGAG
rnacentral:rRNA from 1 species